UUGAUUCUAAGACCAUUGUCGGUAUUUCUCAUUGUGCAGUUCUUAAAGUGAAUGCCGCUAACGUCCUCCUCGUUGGGGUACUUACCAAGACUACCAACACUGAGGCCGUGUCCAGGACCACAAACCACACGUUCGACGGUUACAUUGUUGGAACCACGACCGACUGAAACACAAUCGUCUCCGGUCCCUAUAAAACUGUCUAGGAUCCUAACGUUGUCGGCAUUGCUCAAAUGGAUACCAUCCGUGUUGGGACUUUCAGCAGGGGCGAUAAUCUUAAUGUUGUGGAUGUUGACAUUCACGGUUUUCACCAAGAACAUGUGGAAGGCCUUUGCGUUGACCGAGCUAAUGCCG
rnacentral:lncRNA from 1 species